rnacentral:rRNA from 1 species
CUGAGGACUGGUGCUUGCACCGGUCCAAGGAGUUGCGAACGGGUGAGUAACGCGUAGGUAACCUACCUCAUAGCGGGGGAUAACUAUUGGAAACGAUAGCUAAUACCGCAUAAAAGUGUUUAACACAUGUUAACCAUUUAAAAGGUGCAAUUGCAUCACUAUGAGAUGGACCUGCGUUGUAUUAGCUAGUUGGUGAGGUAACGGCUCACCAAGGCGACGAUACAUAGCCGACCUGAGAGGGUGAUCGGCCACACUGGGACUGAGACACGGCCCAGACUCCUACGGGAGGCAGCAGUAGGGAAUCUUCGGCAAUGGACGGAAGUCUGACCGAGCAACGCCGCGUGAGUGAAGAAGGUUUUCGGAUCGUAAAGCUCUGUUGUUAGAGAAGAAUGAUGGUGGGAGUGGAAAAUCCACCAUGUGACGGUAACUAACCAGAAAGGGACGGCUAACUACGUGCCAGCAGCCGCGGUAAUACGUAGGUCCCGAGCGUUGUCCGGAUUUAUUGGGCGUAAAGCGAGCGCAGGCGGUUCUUU